rnacentral:rRNA from 1 species
GAUGAACGCUAGCGGCAGGCUUAACACAUGCAAGUCGAGGGGUAUAGUAGCAAUACUAGAGACCGGCGCACGGGUGCGUAACGCGUAUGCAAUCUACCUUUUACAGAGGGAUAGCCCAGAGAAAUUUGGAUUAAUACCUCAUAGCAUUGCGAAAUGGCAUCAUUUUGCAAUUAAAGUCACAACGGUAAAAGAUGAGCAUGCGUCCCAUUAGCUAGUUGGUAAGGUAACGGCUUACCAAGGCAACGAUGGGUAGGGGUCCUGAGAGGGAGAUCCCCCACACUGGUACUGAGACACGGACCAGACUCCUACGGGAGGCAGCAGUGAGGAAUAUUGGACAAUGGGCGCAAGCCUGAUCCAGCCAUGCCGCGUGCAGGAUGACGGUCCUAUGGAUUGUAAACUGCUUUUGUACGAGAAGAAACACUCCGACGUGUCGGAGCUUGACGGUAUCGUAAGAAUAAGGAUCGGCUAACUCCGUGCCAGCAGCC